UGGUGGGUAGUUUGACUGGGGCGGUCUCCUCCCAAAGAGUAACGGAGGAGCACGAAGGUUAGCUAAUCCUGGUCGGACAUCAGGAGGUUAGUGCAAUGGCAUAAGCUAGCUUGACUGCGAGCGUGACGGCGCGAGCAGGUGCGAAAGCAGGUCAUAGUGAUCCGGUGGUUCUGAAUGGAAGGGCCAUCGCUCAACGGAUAAAAGGUACUCCGGGGAUAACAGGCUGAUACCGCCCAAGAGUUCAUAUCGACGGCGGUGUUUGGCACCUCGAUGUCGGCUCAUCACAUCCUGGGGCUGAAGUAGGUCCCAAGGGUAUGGCUGUUCGCCAUUUAAAGUGGUACGCGAGCUGGGUUUAGAACGUCGUGAGACAGUUCGGUCCCUAUCUGCCGUGGGCGCUGGAGAAUUGAGGGGGGCUGCUCCUAGUACGAGAGGACCGGAGUGGACGCAUCACUGGUGUUCGGGUUGUCAUGCCAAUGGCAUUGCCCGGUAGCUAAAUGCGGAAAAGAUAAGUGCUGAAAGCAUCUAAGCACGAAACUUGCCCCGAGAUGAGUUCUCCCUGACUCCUUGAGAGUCCUGAAGGAACGUUGAAGACUACGACGUUGAUAGGUCGGGUGUGUAAGCGUAGCGAUACGUUGAGCUAACCGAUACUAAUGAACCGUGAGGCUUAACCUUACAACGCCGAA
rnacentral:rRNA from 1 species